GGGUAUCUUCACAAUUUCACAGUCUCUUUGUGUGGCUGGGAUUUUCUCUGCUUCUUUGUUAUGGAAUAUAAGCCAUUGGGAAUAAAAUGCUGUAAUGGCUCCACCGCUUCCUUAAAGCGUACCGCCGUUUCCUGACGCUGAAUUUGGAUGCACCUCCUACCUGGUCAGGAACCCCACAUCUGGGUUUCUUCAUCCACCUACAGGAGAGAGGGGGGGAGCACAUCCAUCAUUCUAAUGCAGGUAUUUUGACUCCGAGGCUAUAGAAUCUGGAUCUUUGAUUGCAGGCCACCUGCUGCCCCUGUGAUCCUGCUCAA